rnacentral:rRNA from 1 species
GUCUACGGCCAUACCACCCUGAACGCGCCCGAUCUCGUCUGAUCUCGGAAGCUAAGCAGGGUCGGGCCUGGUUAGUACUUGGAUGGGAGAUAUGGAUCUAUUCU